rnacentral:lncRNA from 1 species
UUCACUCUCUGCUGAUAUAACUGACCAUGACACAUGUCAGUUAAUCUUUUCUUUCGAUCGGAUUCACUUGGUCGUAGCGACUCUGAAUCCAUUCAGCAUCAGUCAACUUGGGACUUGAGGGUGCUGUUUUUCUUUUGUUUCUUUCUUUCUUUUUCUUUCUUAUUUUUCUUUUUUGAUUUGGAUUUCCUUUGAUUUCUUUUUGAUUUCUUUUGAUUUUUUGCACCUUCCUCUCUCUCUUUUUUUUAAUGCCCCAGUUGGCUGUUCUGCUGAUUCUCGAGAUGCGGCUGAGUGAUCUUCUUUUCUUGCUCAAGAAGUCGGGAAAUCUCGUCAGGAAUCCCUUCAACA